CCAGAAAGGCUCCGCACACGUUCACAAUUCUACACCCACCCUUCGCUCAGGCUGUUUCUUUUCCCACCUCUGCCUGCCCAGCUCCCUCCAGUCUGCACUCCUUCUCACGUGACCCACCGCCGCAGCCAGAGGGAUCUUCCAAAAACACCCUUCUAAUCUUGCGCAAUCCUGCCUAUCAUCCUUAAGGACCCGGAACCCUGGCCUCAAGGCCUUCUCCACUUUCCUCGGGAGACAGGCCCAAUCUCACCCAUGAGCCUUCCAACCCUAGCCUGCCUCGAGCCCUGACCUGGCCACUGGCGGCCCAUCCCUGAGCCUCAGAUUCUCCGGUGCAGGCCCCUCGGGGGCUCACAGCUCCUCCCCUGCCAGACCUUGAGCUUGGCGGAUACAGUGCCCGGCUGCCGGGUCCUCCGCCCCCUCCUCACAGGCUCAAUCGGGGUCUGAUCAAAGAAAGGACGGGAAACUGUGGGGCGGAGCGAGGGGCACGAUCCCGGGAGGAGGGCGCGCCCCCAGGAGCCGGCGGGUCGAGAGCACCGGGAACGAAACACCAGGUUCGCUUCCGUUUUGUGGGCACCUGGGGCAGGCCCUGUGCUGACGGCACGCAGGUGGACCGAGAGGCACUGGGAGGGUCCCGGCGCCUCGGGCUGACGGAAGCACCUAGGCGGCUCAUACGUUGCAUGUAACUGAAGGGGGUCGCAGCCCCCAGAAGCCCACUGCGGGCCUCGGCUUACAUCCCCCGCCCGGCAGGAGCGAAAACAAUGGGCGCUCGGAGCGCAAGCCAGGCGGUGACAGAGAGCAAAGAGCCGCAGGCUUCCCGCGCGGUCGAGGGGACGGCGCCUGGGGUGCGGGGGCGGGGAGGCGACUGAGCAAGGCUCGGGAGGCGAGCGCUGAACAGCAGGGGAAGAGCGCGGCUCCCAGACCGGGCUCGGAAAAAUGACGCGCGCCACGCUCCGGGCCGCGCCAAUACGGGACUGCCCCGCCCCGCCCAGUGCAUUGUGGAGCUUAGAGGCCCCUCCCGGCGCCGAGUCUCGCGAGAGAACGAGAAUCACGAGGACCGCGGAAUCGAAGGCCGGGAGAACCCGCUUCCUCCCCUCUGACCGGGGUUCCGCCCCCGCGCCGGGUGGGCCAAUCACUACUCUUCCCCUUUCCGGUUGCGGGGAUUGGUCCGACGGAGCACGUGACCAGGUCCCUGGCCUUUUACCCCAACACAGCAGCCCUGAGGGUUCCGAAGUGGCUGUGAGGCCAUGGUCCUGGAAGGAUUUGCCUAAGCCACAGACUCCGGCGCCUGGGCUAUAACCCUUACUUGGCCCAUAAACUGUAACCACCCGGCCAUGAAGCUCUUGUACCUUGAGAGGUGAGGGUGGACAUCCAAACCCCGAUGACAUCCCUUCUCGCUGCUUCCUGCCCAAGAUGGUGACCCUAGAAGAUGUUGCCUGUGCCUCCCGGGCUCCUCUCCCUACAGCCAUAGAGCUGCUGGUCCCUUAAGUUCCUUGCACCAGACGCAAGAGAGUCUCAGGGCAGGGCCAGCAAAAGAGGAGAAGCAGAGGGUGAGGAACCAGGAAACCAUAAAUGGAAGAAGGGAGAUGAGAAAUGCAAAGGCCUGAAGAGAAAUGACUGUCCACUUGUAAAAAGGCAAAAAUCUUUGUCUUCAUAGAAUUUAACUCCUAGUGUCUAGAGAUAAGGAACAAAAACCAUACUAUGGGGCUGGGGAUAUAGCUUAGUGGUAGAGUGUUUGACUAGCAUGGGCAAAGCCCUGGGUUCCUGUGGAGAGCCACUCCAAAUGCACGCACCUUUAACUCCUGCUGCACCACGGGGAUCUGAAAGAUCACUGUGGUCUGGCACAGUAGUGCCAUGACUUGUGACUCCGGCGACAGCACCCAGAGAGGUUGAGCUACACUCACCUGUUCCCUUGUAAUCCUACCCCUUGCCUCAUUUGACUGGCUUUUUCCCAAUAAAGGGGUUCAGCACGU